GUACACUCCUGCGGGAGGCAGCAGUGGGGAAUAUUGGACAAUGGGCGCAAGCCUGAUCCAGCCAUGCCGCGUGAGUGAUGAAGGCCCUAGGGUUGUAAAGCUCUUUCACCGGUGAAGAUAAUGACGGUAACCGGAGAAGAAGCCCCGGCUAACUUCGUGCCAGCAGCCGCGGUAAUACGAAGGGGGCUAGCGUUGUUCGGAUUUACUGGGCGUAAAGCGCACGUAGGCGGACUAUUAAGUCAGGGGUGAAAUCCCGGGGCUCAACCCCGGAACUGCCUUUGAUACUGGUAGUCUUGAGUUCGAGAGAGGUGAGUGGAAUUCCGAGUGCAGAGGUGAAAUUCGUAGAUAUUCGGAGGAACACCAGUGGCGAAGGCGGCUCACUGGCUCGAUACUGACGCUGAGGUGCGAAAGCGUGGGGAGCAAACAGGAUUAGAUACCCUUGUAGUCCCAUG
rnacentral:rRNA from 1 species